GCGCUGGUGGUCUAGUGGUAUGAUGCGAGCUUCCCAAGCUUGCGACCCGGGUUCAAUUCCCGGCCGGCGCA
rnacentral:tRNA from 1 species